UCAGUCCGACAAGCGGUAGGCCCAUUUAAUACGACAUCUCACAGGUUGGCUGGUUCUGUUUCGUUUCUGUAUCCCCCUUCCUCUGAUGCUUAUCGAACAAUGGCGGCCUUGGCGACGGCCGACGGAUGGCGGGACUGGAUCCGGUCGACAGGUUCGCUGUCCCAACCAUGUACGGCGGUGUGUUCUGAGUGGCAACCCAGCCGACACUAGAUCUGGUUGAAGCGGACGACAAGUUCAGAAUGGGAGGAGCCGUGGAUGUGUUCGCGCCUCUCCAACUGAAUCUGAACACGCUGUGCGAUAUGAGCAGCUUAUCGCCGCCGGACUCUGAACAGUCCACGAGCAAGGAAGACCCGCAAGCUCCUGGUUGGACAUGGAGGUGAUUUCAUUGUUCUGCACUUCCGUUGAAUUCAUUCAGUAAAUAUGAAAUAUUUUCUUGAUUUUGAAGUAUUGCAGUCAGGAAUUCAUGCUCUCUGAUAAGACACCCAUAUUUUGUGAUUGUGCUUAACUGCAGACAAAAGCUAUGUGAUGCAGGGUGCUUGUUGGACAGGCUCCUGCGCCAUGUUCGGGUAGAGUUUGUGCCCUUGAGCAGACAAUCAGGGGGUUAGCUGAGAAGAAGACUGACACUGUUGUUGGAAGUUCGUUUGACUCAUUAUUAGGCGAGGUGACUACUAGAAUUUGUACUCCUGGGUAUGUUGGAUGUUAAUUGGUACGGUGAGAGCAAGAGCAAGGUUAACUUUGAAAAGACAAAGUGCAUACAGGGGAUAGUAUGUGGGUGCUCGUUAUGGCCUAACUUCGUUCGGUUAAACAUUGUGUUCGCUCACUAGCUGGAAAAAAAAGUUGUGCUAAAACUUUUUAUCAAAAAAAAGUUGUGCUAAACUGGUUUAUAAUUACUGGGUAAGCCAAAAAGGACCAACACAAGAUCAUGCCAGCGAUGAUUCGUCUACUCAGCUCGGAGGACAACAACUGAUACAUAAGCGAGCACAGGGCCAAGCCAUCGCAGUUCAAGGACGACAAGUUAAAGUUAUGUGUGUUUGCUCGGGAAGCCGAAGAAGUUGAACACUCGAUCUUGCGAUGUGAGUGCCUGGCAGUGAUAAGGCUACUGAUUUACAAUGCGAGUUACUAGUUGUCCGUGCAAUUUGUACAAUUUGAUUUUCUCUUGUAAGCUAGGAUUUUCCUAAACCUGUAUACAUUUUACGUAAACAUGUGUUAGCGGGAAAAUAAACCAAUCAGUGGCAAUCGGUGUCGCGAGUGUAUUGCGACAAAUGACGAUUGUCGUCGAGGCCUGUUGUGUUCUCUGAAUCAAACUUUCUAUUUGUUCCCUGAUGA